rnacentral:rRNA from 1 species
AACCUCCGCAAUGUGAGAAAUCGCGACGGGGGGAUCCCAAGUGCCAUUCUUAACGGGAUGGCUUUUCAUUAGUGUAAAAAGCUUUUGGAAUAAGAGCUGGGCAAGACCGGUGCCAGCCGCCGCGGUAACACCGGCAGCUCUAGUGGUAGCAAUUUUUAUUGGGCCUAAAGCGUCCGUAGCCGGUUUAAUAAGUCUCUGGUGAAAUCCUGCAGCUUAACUGUGGGAAUUGCUGGAGAUACUAUUAGACUUGAGACCGGGAGAGGUUAGAGGUACUCCCAGGGUAGAGGUGAAAUUCUGUAAUCCUGGGAGGACCGCCUGUUGCGAAGGCGUCUAACUGGAACGGUUCUGACGGUGAGGGACGAAAGUUAGGGGCGCGAACCGGAUUAGAUACCCGGGUAGUCCUAACUGUAAACGAUGCGGACUUGGUGUUGGGGUGGCUUUGAGCUGCUCCAGUGCCGAAGGGAAGCUGUUAAGUCCGCCGCCUGGGAAGUACGGUCGCAAGACUGAAACUUAAAGGAAUU